AGCAUGCAGUUCAGAGUUUUGUCUUGUUAAUAGAUAAAUCUAGAACGGAGUGCUGAAAGUAAUCUUUCUUUGCAACCCACAUCUGGUUAUACCUUGCCAGUUGUGUUACUGACAAGAAAGAACAUA